rnacentral:miRNA from 1 species
AAGUAUUUGUUUGGGAUUGGAUC